CCGAGAUUUACAGGAAGAAUUUGCACCUGGCAGGUCUCAAACAAGCAUUCAUGACGAACUUUUGCUUCCACAUUUUAAAAAUGGAACUUUCAAAUCAGAUUUGCCAACAAAAAAGAAAACUAAAAGUCAUUCUUCACAAGUUGCAACUUCAUUAUCAAAGCUUGUUAACAAUUUCCACUUUGCAAAAUAUCUUGAAGCCAAAGAAAAGAAUAGAAAGGCAGCUCUGAACUCAAAAAAUCGCAUACAACUCACUAAUGACAUCUUGUGGUAUAAAGACAAUGUGGU